ensembl:snRNA U6 U6 spliceosomal RNA
GUGCUCACUUCGACAGCACAUACACUAAAAUUGGAAUGAUACAGAGAUUAGCAUGGUCCCUGCGCAAGGAUGACAUGCAAAUUCAUGAAGCAUUCCAUAUUUUU